AUUGAACGCUGGCGGCAGGCUUAACACAUGCAAGUCGAGCGGGGUGAUGGUGCUUGCACUAUCACUUAGCGGCGGACGGGUGAGUAAUGCUUAGGAAUCUGCCUAUUAGUGGGGGACAACAUCUCGAAAGGGAUGCUAAUACCGCAUACGUCCUACGGGAGAAAGCAGGGGAUCACUUGUGACCUUGCGCUAAUAGAUGAGCCUAAGUCGGAUUAGCUAGUUGGUGGGGUAAAGGCCUACCAAGGCGACGAUCUGUAGCGGGUCUGAGAGGAUGAUCCGCCAAACUGGGCCUGAGACACGGGCCAGACUCCUACGGGGGGCAGCAGUGGGGAAUAUUGGACAAUGGGGGGAACCCUGAUCCAGCCAUGCCGGGUGUGUGAAGAAGGCCUUAUGGUUGUAAAGCACUUUAAGCGAGGAGGAGGCUCUUUUGGUUAAUACCCAAGAUGAGUGGACGUUACUCGCAGAAUAAGCACCGGCUAACUCUGUGCCAGCCGCCGCCGUAA
rnacentral:rRNA from 1 species